rnacentral:tRNA from 1 species
GAGAGAGACAUAGUGGCUAUGGUGUUGGCUUGAAACCAAUUUCAGGGGGUUCGAAACCUUCCUUUCUUA